UAAAUAUUUGAGAAUAAAGGUGCGUGUACUUAAAGUACGGCUUAAAAGGGAAGCAGGUUAAAGUCCUGCACGGUCCCGCCACUGUAAUGGGGAGAUGUUUCAUACAAUAGGCCACUGGUUCAUACCGGGAAGGCGUGAUGUAUUUAAAUGAACCAAAGUCAGAAGACCUGCCUUUGUUAAUGAACCAGU
rnacentral:ncRNA from 2 species